CUCAGUCCUUGUAGGGCAUGUAUUAAACGAGGACGAGCGUGAAUUUGAGGGCAUCCCGACACGCUGUCCUCGGAAGAGCCGAUACGCACCACAAAAAACAAACAUCCUGUAGUGUACAAAAAGCAAGUCAAGGCUUGUUUCACAAAAGAGCAAGAGACAGCUGGAACAAUACCUUUAUAUUAAAGGAAGUGGAGUAAUAAACUAAGAAAAAGGAAUCGGAGAAGUUGUCCUGUACAGUUUGACAAAUGGCCAAAUUUUGAGCAGAUCCGGCAAAAUCUAAAGAGGACAGACUGGGAUAAGCUUUCAGGUGUGGAGACGAUCAAGGAGCAGCAUGUAAUGCAGGAUAGGCUCUACGCAGCCAUCUGUGUUGGAAAGAAGGCAGGUGCCUCAGCUGUCCACAAGACUGAUUUUAUCAAAUACUUUUAUAUGAAGCCUGGAAACAAAGAAGAAUGAAUUAAGAACAUUUAUGUUAAGUAGAAGUCGGGGCUGGAUGGUCUAUUAGUCUUACAACCCCUGCAGAUGUUGGUUUUUUUUGUCUCCAGCCUAAUUGGAAUUUUUUUCCUCCCAGC